GAGGUGUUGGGUUAAGUCCCGCAACGAGCGCAACCCUCGCCUUCAGUUGCCAGCAUUUAGUUGGGCACUCUAAAGAAACUGCCCGUGAUAAGCGGGAGGAAGGUGUGGAUGACGUCAAGUCCUCAUGGCCCUUACGUGGUGGGCUACACACGUGCUACAAUGGUGGUGACAGUGGGUUAAUCCCCAAAAGCCAUCUCAGUUCGGAUUGUCGGCUGCAACUCGCCGGCAUGAAGUUGGAAUUGCUAGUAAUCGCGUAACAGCAUGACGCGGUGAAUACGUUCCCGGACCUUGUACACACCGCCCGUCACGUCAUGGAAGCCGGGAGUGCCCGAAGUCACCUUG
rnacentral:rRNA from 14 species